CACGUAGGGUGCGAGCGUUGUCCGGAAUUAUUGGGCGUAAAGAGCUCGUAGGCGGUGUGUCGCGUCGGCCGUGAAAACCUGCAGCUUAGCUGUGGGCGUGCGGUCGAUACGGGCAUCACUGGAGUUCGGCAGGGGAGACUGGAAUUCCUGGUGUAGCGGUGAAAUGCGCAGAUAUCAGGAGGAACACCGGUGGCGAAGGCGGGUCUCUGGGCCGAUACUGACACUGAGGAGCGAAAGCGUGGGGAGCGAACAGG
rnacentral:rRNA from 1 species